rnacentral:rRNA from 1 species
GACGAACGCUGGCGGCGUGCUUAACACAUGCAAGUCGAACGGAAAGGCCUCUUUCGGGGGGUACUCGAGUGGCGAACGGGUGAGUAACACGUGAGUAACCUGCCCUUGACUUUGGGAUAACUUCAGGAAACUGGGGCUAAUACCGGAUAGGAGCUCCUGCUGCAUGGUGGGGGUUGGAAAGUUUCGGCGGUUGGGGAUUGACUCGCGGCUUAUCAGCUUGUUGGUGGGGUAGUGGCUUACCAAGGCUUUGACGGGUAGCCGGCCUGAGAGGGUGACCGGCCACAGUGGGACUGAGAUACGGCCCAGACUCCUACGGGAGGCAGCAGUGGGGAAUAUUGCACAAUGGGUGGAAGCCUGAUGCAGCAACGCCGUGUGCGGGAUGGCGGCCUUCGGGUUGUAAACCGCUUUCGCUCAUGACGAAGCUUUGUGUGACGGUAGUGGGUAAAGAAGCACCGGCUAACUACGUG